AUUGAACGCUGGCGGCAGGCCUAACACAUGCAAGUCGAACGGUAACAGGAAGAAGCUUGCUUCUUUGCUGACGAGUGGCGGACGGGUGAGUAAUGUCUGGGAAACUGCCUGAUGGAGGGGGAUAACUACUGGAAACGGUAGCUAAUACCGCAUAACGUCGCAAGACCAAAGAGGGGGACCCUCGGGCCUCUUGCCAUCGGAUGUGCCCAGAUGGGAUUAGCUAGUAGGUGGGGUAACGGCUCACCUAGGCGACGAUCCCUAGCUGGUCUGAGAGGAUGACCAGCCACACUGGAACUGAGACACGGUCCAGACUCCUACGGGAGGCAGCAGUGGGGAAUAUUGCACAAUGGGCGCAAGCCUGAUGCAGCCAUGCCGCGUGUAUGAAGAAGGCCUUCGGGUUGUAAAGUACUUUCAGCGGGGAGGAAGCGAGUAAAGUUAAUACCUUUGCUCAUUGACGUUACCCGCAGAAGAAGCACCGGCUAACUCCGUG
rnacentral:rRNA from 1 species